UACGAAGGGGGCGAGCGUUAUUCGGAAUCACUGGGCGUAAAGCGUGCGUAGGCCGUCUAGCAAGUUGGAAGUGAAAGCCCAGGGCUCAACCCUGGAAUUGCUUUCAAAACUGCAAGACUAGAAUCUCGGAGAGGAUAGCGGAAUUCCCAGUGUAGUAGUGAAAUACGUAGAUAUUGGGAGGAACACCAGUGGCGCAAGCGGCUAUCUGGACGAGUAUUGACGCUGAGGCACGAAAGCGUGGGGAGCAAACGGG
rnacentral:rRNA from 1 species